rnacentral:misc_RNA from 1 species
GCAAACUUGGUCAUUUAGAGGAAGUAAAAGUCGUAACAAGGUUUCCGUAGGUGAACCUGCGGAAGGAUCAUUGCAAAUCGUUUUGGUGAGAGUCUUGUGCAGGAUCGAUGAGUCUUUUGGUUCAUCAAUCCCACAGGCUCGCAACCACAUAUGCACAGCUGUUGCUGUUGGAGACACUGUCUCUUUCGGUGACGGCUGAUGUUUACGCUUGAUUGUUUGACAAAUCUAUAUGCUACAAAAAUAUACAACUUUUAACAACGGAUCUCUUGGCUCUUGCAUCGAUGAAGAACGCAGC